GCAUCGGUGGUGUAAUGGUAACAUUGAAGCCUUCCAAGCUUUAGCCCCGGGUUCGAUUCCCGGCCGAUGCA
rfam:Cladophialophora carrionii strain KSF Contig1501, whole genome shotgun sequence.